rnacentral:rRNA from 1 species
CUCUUGAGAGCGGCGGACGGGUGAGUAAUGCCUAGGAAUCUGCCUGGUAGUGGGGGAUAACGUUCGGAAACGGACGCUAAUACCGCAUACGUCCUACGGGAGAAAGCAGGGGACCUUCGGGCCUUGCGCUAUCAGAUGAGCCUAGGUCGGAUUAGCUAGUUGGUGAGGUUAUGGCUCACCAAGGCGACGAUCCGUAACUGGUCUGAGAGGAUGAUCAGUCACACUGGAACUGAGACACGGUCCAGACUCCUACGGGAGGCAGCAGUGGGGAAUAUUGGACAAUGGGCGAAAGCCUGAUCCAGCCAUGCCGCGUGUGUGAAGAAGGUCUUCGGAUUGUAAAGCACUUUCAGCGAGGAGGAAGGCAGUCGUGUUAAUAGCACGGUUGAUUGACGUUACUCGCAGAAGAAGCACCGGCUAACUCCGUGCCAGCAGCCGCGGUAAUACGGAGGGUGCAAGCGUUAAUCGGAAUUACUGGGCGUAAAGCGCACGCAGGCGGUUUGUUAAGUCAGAUGUGAAAUCCCCGCGCUUAACGUGGGA